ACCUGGGAGGAGACGCAAACUGAGGUCAGAGGUCAGGAGGACUUUUUGGGUAGGGGAUAGGUCAUUUGUCUCAAACGAUGGCAUCCUUUCUCUUUUCCUUUAUCAUAACCCUUUGGUGACUAACAGCCUAUUAAUAAGAUCUACCAUUCUGCAGGAGAUGGCUUCAUAAGCGAUUCAUCUAUGAUCUCAAACCAAAUGCAGCUGAGUUACAAAAUGUUCCUGGAUUUAUGCUCUUGUAAUAUGCACGCAUCUUUAGAAAUGGUAAAGGAAGAGCAUAAUUGUGCCUCAGCAGCUUCUGCCUCGGGGGUGCCUUUGAUUCAGCUCCCCAGAGGCCUUGUGGCAGCUGGGAAGUGGCGGGCCUGUGGCUGGAGGGAAAGGACAAGAGGUGUCUGCCCUGACUCUGCCUGCUAGGAGGACAAGAGAGGAGCAGUUUCUGCAAGCAGUGGUUUCCUGAACCCUAGUCCACAGAGAUGAAGUGUUCUCCAGCCCAUGCAGCCCAAGGUAAAGAAAGCCCUGGCUCCCUUCUCACUGCUUGAAGUCCAGAGGUUCAUUUCUGCUUGGCCCCAGGAGCCCCUAGCUCAGAAGAGGCAAGUGUUUUGGGGCUGGGCUGGGUGGGGCCCAAGAGAUACAUUCUGGUUGUCAGGACAUUAGAAUCUUAUCCAUCAUCAGUGUUACUGUCUUUAAUAGCAGGCCUGGCGGAAGAUACCAUUCAUUGCCUAUAAGGGGCAUUAUCCUGAGGAUGUUUCCUACUCUCUCCUUAGCCUUCAUGGACAUACUUUGGAUAAAUGUGAUUAGCCACCUAGGGAAGCAGGAGACAUUUAUUAGCUAGGGAGAGAGCCCUUUCCUGCAGGUGGGUGUUGUCUUCCAUGUACUCAACAUACCUGGAGGCUUGGUUGGGA